rnacentral:tRNA from 1 species
ACGGACUUAAAAUCCGUCGACUUUAAAAAUCGUGAGGGUUCAAGUCCCUCUAUCCCCAAA